CCUACGGGAGGCAGCAGUGAGGAAUAUUGGUCAAUGGGCGUAAGCCUGAACCAGCCAAGUCGCGUGAGGGAUGAAGGUUCUAUGGACCGUAAACCUCUUUUAUAAGGGAAUAAAGUGCGGGACGCGUCCUGUUUUGUAUGUACCUUAUGAAUAAGGAUCGGCUAACUCCGUGCCAGCAGCCGCGGUAAUACGGAGGAUCCGAGGGUUAUCCGGAUUUAAUGGGUUUAAAGGGUGCGUAGGCGGCCUUGUAAGUCAGCGGUGAAAGUCUGUGGCUCAACCAUAGGAUUGCCGUUGAAACUGGGAGGCUUGAGUGUGUUUGAGGCAGGCGGAAUGCGUGGUGUAGCGGUGAAAUGCUUAGAUAUCACGCAGAACCCCGAUGGCGAAGGCAGCCUGCCAGGCCAUGACUGACGCUGAUGCACGAAAGCGUGGGGAUCAAACAGGAUUAGAUACCCCAGUAGUC
rnacentral:rRNA from 1 species